ACAAGCUAAAGGAAUCGUAGAUUGUUUUUACUCCUGCCACAUGGUGGAGCUACUUCAGCUUUAAUGGAAAGAACCAGCCAUUGUUAGUAUGGAAAUUGAUUGCCUCUUCAUUUCACAACACACCACAUGGAUCCUCUACACUGGUGGACCAGGAAAUCGCAACUACUUUAGACACCUUGAAACAGCUCUUGGCUCUUUGCUGGAUCCUAGUAUUUGACCAUGGACCAUUAAGUAUCAUGUGACCAGAAAUGCCCCCUAUGAAAUGAGUAUUGCUUAACCCACCACCAUGUUCUGUUGGUUAUAAUCAAGUCACAGAGCCAGUCCAGAUCAAGGGGAAGGAAUUAUGCAAAAUUCCGAAUACUGAGAGACAUAGUUCAUUGGAAGACCAUCUUUGGAAACCAGCAGCUAUCACAGUUUCCUUGGAUAUUUUCUGAAUAGAGAGAUUCUUACAUUAAUAACUGUUCUCUUCACCAAUAAAUAUUUAUGGAGAACAUACAGUAUGUGCAGAACCUGAACAUAAGUGGAAGAAACAGGGAAAGCAUUGCACCUUCCUCAAAGUUUGUGCAUUCUACCAUGAAAUAUUCACACUAACAUUGAAGCUAAGAGUAGGCUGGAAAUCCCAGAAGUGAAAAUUAAUAUACUGGUACUGAUGGUCAAUGGGUGUAUUAUAGCUCUCUGUGGUGAAAUAAAUAGAUUGAUAAUGGGCUUCUGUAUAUAGUUGUAUCAACAAUAAAACGAUGGAAUGCUUUCUAGCUCAAGAUUUUUACAACCCAAUGAUCCUUAAUCUGGUAACUCAUUCCUCAUAAGACUCAUUCCUCAUAAGACCUGCUUACCUCAAAGAAUUGUUUAUGAGGAUACGUUAAAAUAAGUAUCAGAAAGGACCUUGUAAACUAUAAACAAUGGUACAAAUGUAAGAGACAGUUAUUGCAUUUUCAAAAAGAACUCAUAAUAGGCGUGAUGUAAAUAUUUGUUGAAUAAAUGAAUGAGAAAAUAAAAUAAAUUCUUGAGACA
rnacentral:lncRNA from 1 species